UCAUUUCAAACCGGGCAGAAGAGUAUUCACAACACAGUUGUAAAAUGAACGUCAAGUGUAUAUUUGCAGUCGUAGCAGUGCUAUUAGUCAACAACAUAGCUGCGCUAGGUGGAUAUGGCUCCGUUGGAUAUGCUAGCAGUGGGUAUGGUCCCGUUGGAAUUUCAAGCUUUGGAUAUGGCGGAUAUGGUGGCUGAGCAGGUAUUGGUCGGAUAGGAGGUUUUGGCGGAAUAGGUGGUUUUGGAAGAAUUUUGUCGUAAGGAUAUGAUAAUCCUCGAUUUCGGAUGAAAUACGUCCCUAAACAGUACCAAGUUAUUGUACAGAAAUAUGGUACUGGUAACAUUGCCAGAUCUUUUAUGUCUCAGUGGCUCAAUCAGAAUAAAAAAUACUAAAAAUGUGUAGUCUGAUUUCAAUAUAAACAUACCUAUUACUUUGUAUAAUAUAAUUUUUUCAAUAAAAGAAGACUUUUGUCGAUAUGAUAUUUGA